CAACCUUCAAGCGCGGCUUGGUGUUGGGCGCGGCUUCCGUGGCCGGCCCCAAAGACAGUGGCGGCGCCGCCCGGCCCUGAGCGUAGUACUUGCCUCGCUACGGAGCCCGACGGCGGCUUGCCAGAAACCCCCCCCCACUCAGUG
rnacentral:misc_RNA from 1 species